rnacentral:lncRNA from 1 species
GCUGACUGUGGCUCUGGGAAGACAUUUUACUCAGUUGAUUUCUUUUUUCUUGUGGUCUUCUUGUCCAGUUCUCAGGUGUUUACCACCUAUUAGAAUUUCACCUGUAUGGGUCCUGUGUUUGAGAAAGUCCCAGGACUUGUCAGCUGUAUAGGCCUCAUAAAAGACAGCUCUGUUCAGGGUUUGAAAGGAUCUGCAGGAUCUCCCCCUGUGAGAGGCAACUCAGCAGCUCGGUGCCCUCUGCCAUCUCAGCACUGCCAGUGGAGAAGCCCAGGAGGAGCGCAGAGUAGUAGCUGA